rnacentral:rRNA from 1 species
AACGAACGCUAGCGGCAGGCUUAAUACAUGCAAGUCGAACGGUAACAGGUGUAGCAAUACAUGCUGACGAGUGGCAGACGGGUGAGGAACACGUACGCAACCUCCCUCAAACCGGGGCACAACCUUGAGAAAUCAGGGCUAAUUCCCCAUAACAUUGCGAAAGGGCAUCUGAUUGCAAUUAAAGAUUAUCAGUUUGAGAUGGGCGUGCGUCUGAUUAGGUAGUUGGG